AGUGAUUAAUGCCAAAGCCCUGUUGCCUGUGGAGAGGGUGAUGUUUGACUUUCUUGUACAGAUGCAGUUUGUGUGGUGAAGGUGCUCCCACAAUGUGGCUGGAUCACAGUGAUUAAUGUCAAAGCCCCAUUGCCUGUGGAGAGGGUGAUGUUUGACUUCCUGUACAGCUGCAGUUUGUGUGGUGAAGGUGCUCCCACAAUGUGGUUGGGUAAGAGAUGUUACAGAUUAUUCACACAGCGACAGAGAAAAGGUGAAAACGUGGAUAUUCAGAUGGUAACCUCAGUAUUUGUAACACCAAACUCUGACAGAAUU